rnacentral:sRNA from 1 species
AAUUCAGUCUUUGAAAUGGAUGAAAGAUCACCAAUACUUAUUUGCGGAUCUUUUUAAUACUAAAUGUGUGGGGAGUAAAAACGCUACUGAUGAAUUAUUCAACGAAUCGAAUUGGCGGAAAUUUGAACUUGAUUGUCAGGCCACCGAGUGGCUAAUUUUUUCUAUUGUAUUGAUAGUAUCAACAUUGAUAACAUUGAUCAUAAUAGCUGCUAUUAAAAAAUACCACGUUCAUUUGGAAUAUGUUAUUCUAAGAUUAAAACAAAGGUUGAUUCCUGUAGGCGAUCACGUUUGCGAAGAAGGUGAUUUUCAGCAUGAUGUGUACAUUUCCUAUAAUGAUGAUGACACCUCUUGGGUUGCAAACAAUUUAAAUCCAAAAUUAGAAAGUUUAAACAUUAAAGCAUGGUUUAAAGUCAGAGAUUCUAUUCCAGGAGUUUCGCAAUCGGAAGAAAUAAUUAAAUGUAUCAACGAAAGUAGGAAAGUGAUGUUUAUUAUAAGCGAGAGUUUUCUAGACAUUGGAUGGUCCUCCUAUGCUGUUCAAAUGGCCAUAACGCAUGCAUUUCAUAACCAACGUCAGAGAUCAAUCGUGGUUAUAAUUAAAGAUUGACUUCCUCUAGAAAGACUUCCGAAGGAAUUCAAACACAUAUGGUGGUGUAUUGAGCAUCUUAGAUGGCCGGAAGAUGAAACAAAUGACGAAACGUUACUCUUGAAUUUAUCUAAUGUUUUAGUAUCUGAAUAAAUAUUUUCUGUGUCUU